rnacentral:tRNA from 1 species
GGUAAAAUAAUUUAUUUAGAAUACUUAGUUUGCAUCUAAGAAGAAGAUAGUUCUUUUUACCU